CCAGACAGCCAGGAUGUUGGCUUAGAAGCAGCCAUCAUUUAAAGAAAGCGUAAUAGCUCACUGGUCGAGUCGGCCUGCGCGGAAGAUGUAACGGGGCUAAACCAUGCACCGAAGCUGCGGCAGCGACACUAUGUGUUGUUGGGUAGGGGAGCGUUCUGUAAGCCUGUGAAGGUGGCCUGUGAGGGUUGCUGGAGGUAUCAGAAGUGCGAAUGCUGACAUAAGUAACGAUAAAGCGGGUGAAAAGCCCGCUCGCCGGAAGACCAA
rnacentral:rRNA from 1 species